rnacentral:lncRNA from 1 species
AGUGAGAGGGACCUUAGAGCAGAGCGGGCGGUGCCUGCGCAGUGCGUGAUUACGCGAGCCGGGCGUGGCCCAGGGUUCCGGCGGGUAAGAGCAGGAGUGUGCGCAGGCGCAAAGAUUGCGCUCUCCCCCUCUCCUCGCCUAGAGACCAGAAGCGUCCCUAGUUACUAGUUCCUGGGGCCUGGGAGGGAAACGCGCGACGGCUGAGCCUUCGGUGUGAGUACGCGUGGGGCUUUGUGACGCUGUCUGUGCCUCUGUGAUCGCGAUGUCAUUCGGAGCGCGGCCUUCUGUGCCAGUCCGUGGGAGUGUCAUUAUCUUUCUGUGUUAAGCUUAUUUUGGAAUAAGACAGCGACGAGGAACCCCGACCGUGUUGUGACUCUGGCGAAUUAAUACCUCUUUCAGCUGCAAAUGGGAAUGUCACUGAUCAGAGGCAGUGAAUAACACGACGUUUUUGGAACCAAUCUGCUAGGCUUGAACCGCGUUCAGCCCCUUAACAAAAUGGAAAUGGUCCCCGUUUUAGGGGACUAGCCCUGACUAGGAGAACUGUAGAAUUAGUAUUGGAAGGUGAGACAAAUAAGGAAAAGCAAUUCAGGGGGAUACAGCAGAGAAAAAAAAAUCCCUGUCCUCUUAUUAUGUAAUUUACUUUGAAGCGGAGAGAGACAAGCCACAAAUUCAUGAGUUAGAUAAACAGUCUGAUGAACAGUAAAAAGGGCUAUGGAGAAAUAUAACUCAGAGAAGGUUGUAUCGUAUACAUUUUUUCUAUUGUCUCUUAUAAUGUCUUAACAUGUCAAAAAAACCUGUCUGCAGCAGACACCAGCCAGGUGACCGCUACUCCAAUUCAAUUCUGACGCUACCUGGAAAACAUCAGAUCCUACAGGUUAGACAGCUCAGUCCCAAAAGACUGUCCCCCACUUCCCAUGCCAAUUCCAAACUCCAGAUUGUUGUACCUGUGUUUCAGAGAGAUGUGCUAUAAAUUGGGGCUCCCACAGCCGGCUCCUUGGGUUCCAUUAGUUUGCUAGAGCAGCUCACAGAACUCAAGGAAACACUUAUGUUUACUGGUUUAUUAUAAAAGAUAUUUUAAAGGAUACAAAUAGCCAGAUGAAGAGACAUGUAGGGCAAGGUCCGAGAGAAUCCCUAGUGCAGGAACUUCUGUGCCCGUGGAGUUGGGGUGCACCACCCUCCCAGCACGAGGAUGUGUUUUUGUCUACCUUCUUGGAAGCCGCUUGAACUCAGGCCUUUUCGGUUUUCAAGGUUUCAUUAUGUAGAUGUGAUUGAUUAAAUCAUUGGCCACUGGCGAUCAACUUAAUUUUCAGGCUCUCUCUUUUCCCAGAAGUAGAGGGUGGAGCUGUGAGUUCCAGUCCUCUGAGCACAUGGCUGGUUCCUCUGGCAACUAGCCACCACUCCCCCCAAAUAUUGGGAUUAUCUUGAGAGUUUCCAAAAAUCACCUCAUUAACAUAAACUCAUGUGUGGUUGAAAUACUGUCUUUCACCUUUAUGGCUCUGGAGCUGUUCUGGAGCUUUUUCAGGAACCAGGAACAAAAGGCCAGAUAUUUUAACAAAAGAUACUUUAUUGCUGCAGUCAUUUAGGAAAUUAAAAGAGCUGUAGGAACUGAGAGCCAUGAACUGUACCUUUCUUUCUAACUCCACAUUCAGUGAUGUCAUAUUGGUAGAUUGAAAUCCACCACAAGGGGACUAUUUACAGUAUGGAAAUACAGUCUACAUCGCUAAAGGAUGGAGAUACAUUCUGAGAAAUGGGUUCUUAGGCAAUUUCCUAAGAACCUUGUUGUGCAAACAUCAUAGAGUGUACUUACACAAACCUAGAUUGUGUAGCCUACUACACACCCACACUCACUCAGACUGGGACAACUUAGACAUACCAGUUAACUUACUGUGCACAUCUUUGGGAUGUGGGAGGAAUCUGGAGUACCCAGAGAAAACCCAUGGAGACAUGGUGAGACUAGUCAGAUUGCAUUAGGACCCACCCUAACGACCUCAUUUCAACUUAAUUAACUCUGUAAAAAUCCUAUAUCCAAAUACAGUCACAUUCUGAGGUACUGGGAGUUAGGACUUCAACAUGCAAAAUUUGGGGCAGACAAAAUUCAACCAAUAACAAGAGAUUAUUUUGAUUCUUCUGUCCUCAUUCAUCCCACCAAGGAAGUAAGGGGUAUUUCCAUUAUCAUACUAUAUAUUAAAUUAUCAUUACAUUACAUAUAUAAUGUUUUCUUUAUCUAAUUUUUACUUUAUAUAUACCACAUUUUUGUUCAUGGGCCAUCAAAGGUAUUAUCUCACAUAAUUCUUGUAAAAAUAAAAUUGAAUAACUAACUUUACAGUUGAAGAUUUAAACAAUAAGGGACUUUUUCCAAAGCCACACAUCUAAUAAGUUUCAAAGGUAUUACUCUAAUUCAAGUUUCUUCUUUCCAAAUUCAGAACUCUUUCCAUCCUGUAACAGUGCACUAUUUUUAAGCUUAACUCCUUUCUGAAGAAUAUCAAAUUUAACAACAGUGUUGGUGACCAGGUGAAUUUGGAUUACAAAUUAAUUUCUGGGACAGAAUAUGAUAUUCUCAACUUUUGGAACUUCAGGUGAGAGUUGACCAGUUUUCCCCACAGGCUCCAUGUGGUCAACGUUAUUUGUUUAGAAUUGGAAAUGGCCUUGUAUGACACUGGAUCCAACUUAUCCUAGCUUGGGGUCAGCUUUAUUAAUUCUAACAAACUCUUUUUUGUUUGUUUUGAGAAAAUGCAAAGUUUGUUUAAUCUCUUCAGGUUUCACAACCAGUGGUAGCAUAGUGAGUUUAUUCACGCCAUCAUGUUGAAUUUUAUAAAAGAAUCUUACAUAUGGUUGACUGCUAACAUCUACUUGCUUAGUCCCUGAGAUUUGCUUAUAUGGGAUAGAGUAGGAAUUCCUACAAAAAGAAAGAGAGGUCUGAAAGAUAAAAUUCCUGGAGUAGCACUGAGUCAGAGUCUCUGGCAGAAUCCCAACAAACUCACAGUUCCUGAUUUACAGCCCAGGGAUUCUUAAACAGUGGUGCCCAAGUGUAGUAACAUCAUUUGAUUGUCCAAACAUUAGUUAGCCUCUUCCCUGCCUUAUAUUAUAAUGUUCUUCAGGGCAGAAAUGACCCGUAUCUUGUCCUCUGUUCCUUCUACAGUGUCUAAGUAGAUGUCAAGCACAUAGUGGGUUAUCAAUACAUUUUGUUAAAUGAAUGAAUUAAAGAAGGACAAGCUAUAGCCAAAACUUUAAUGGGAGUUUGAUGUUUUUUGCCUUUUGCAAGAAUCUUGAAGCAAGAAGAAUGGAUACAUUUAUUCUUAUUAUCUCUCUUUUUCAUUUAAGAUUGUUUACCUAGUGAGAAAUCCCAGAGAUAUAGUUACUUUUGGUUAUUAUUUCUGGAGAAUGAGGAUGGUCAAAAAUACGGAGUCAUUUAAAUAAUAUUUGGAAUGGUUUCUUCAAGGAUAUGAAUUCCCCCUUCUCCAGUGAAAAAAGUAUACAAGCAAAACCACGAAAAAGGUAGAUUUACAAAACUAUUCAAAUGUUUCUUAUUUGUAAUAGCAAAAAAGAACCAAAAUUCCCACCGACAAUAUCCUGGAACAGCACCCAACUUACAACAAGAAUAAGGAAUACUGCCACACCACUGCAGAGUGGCCUCUAGGAUCCCCUGUUAACUUAAAAAGAUUAAGGUAUGGAACAAAGUUUGUGACUAUUCUACCAAUGAACCAAGACAGAGGACAACCCAGAAGACUGCACAGGGAGAGCAGAGCUGGCACAGCUUGGAGUCAGGGUUGGGAGUCAGGUGUGGUCAAGACAUGAAGCUACUAACGUCUGCAUGGUCGAUAUCAUGGACAGCCUUAAAUACAGAAUUAAGGAGCUUGGAUUUUAACCUGUAUUCCGAGUUUAAAAAAAUACUGUUUCUGACAAGUACUCUCAGAUUUUGGGAGUGGAAUUUUUAUAAAAGAUAUUUUAAAGGCUGUAAUGCUCCCGCCCCCAAAUUUAAAACGUGUUCUAGUUUUGUCAGCUUAUCCAAGUCUCCAGCAUCUUGCGAGGUUCCCCUAUGAACCCAUGGAGUAUCCAUAUUUUUAACUACUUCAAUUUUGGUAUAGCAGCAUGGCAUGGCCCCAAGGUCCAUGAUCUUGCAUGUUCCUGCAUAAAUGCUCUCCUUUCAGAGCUCCAAGUGUCUGCAUUCAAACAGUGACUAUCCAACUUUUUAAUAGCUGUUUUUCGGCAGAAAGAUGACAUAACUUCUAUGAGCCUCAGUUUUCUUAUUUUUCAAAUGGGGAUUGGGACUGUAUUCAUUGAAAUAGUGCUGAGACCCCUUCCAUGCAUAAAAAUAAUGUGGUAUCUUCAGUGUAAGAUGAAAAAAAAGUCUUCCUUUUGGUUUUUGAAGGUCUUGGAGUUUAUUAUCUAUAUCAGGUUGAACACAUCACUUGGUUAUUAGAACGUUAGAUCAUGUCCACAAUCAGAGCUCCUAUUGGAUUAUUCCAAACCCUGAGUUGCAGACAACAUUAGACAUGACAAGGAAUUCAAGCAAAAGGGAAACAGAAAACACUGUGCUUUUUCAAUGAAUCCAAUGUAGGAAUUGAGCUCCACCUUUUUCAGGAAUAGCUGCAAUUGUGGAAUCAAACAGAAGUCCCUAAAUCUCUGCAGUUUUCUGCUUGAAUGUUUCAUUUUCUAGGUCUCAGUGUAAGUUUCUAUUAUUUUGUGCCCACAUGACCUGAAUGUGACCUGACCAUUUCUGAGUAUGAGGAAUUCAAUUUUAUUGUCCAGAUAUACAGAGAGAAACAAGUUCACUGUUGAUACAAAGAGCAAAAAUGUCAAGAGAAGAGGCACUGGUGUGCAUACGUCAGAUGCCCCACUCUGCAAAAAUCAAUAAUAUCUAAGUAAUAAGAUUCCUCGGGACAUGACCCUCCAGCCACAUUCAUCUGAAGAGAGUACAGAUGUGAGGGGGAAAACUCCUGAUAACAUGUGCUGUCCCAAAGGUUUGUGUGAGUGGAGGAUAAACUAAAGAUACGUGUUUGCUGCAGUUAAGUACAUCAUUUUCUGGCAUAGCAGAGAGUAGCCAGAUUCACAGCAGAAACGACAAAGUCAUUGACUCUAAAUUAGAGGACACUUAAGUUUAGCUCCUACAUUGCUACCUGCAUUCUCUUCACAAUUCACAAUCUAUUUCAUCACAGACAGAGGUGAGACUCAUCUUCAAUACUGUAUCUCACACAACACCCACUGCUCUGUAUCAAGGCUGUAAAGGCAGAAUUCCAUUUCUCAUGCAAAUGAGGGAAACAGGAAAAGAAUACACGUGUGUAAACGAUUUACAGAGAGAAACAGCAAGUUUACUCUUGAUAUGAAGACUAAAAAUAUCAAGGGGAGAUGCUGGUGUGCAUGUGUCAGAUGCCCCACACUAUAUGUCAACAAUAUCCAAGUAACAGGAUCCCUUGAGACAUGACCCCUCCAGCCACAGUCAUCUGAAUACAGUGCAAAUGUGAGGAAAAACCUUCUUGGUGGGUAGAAGAUAAGCAAAAAACAUGUGUUAGCAGCCAUUAAUUACAUCAUUUUCUGGCAUAAGAGAAAGCAACUAAAUUCAUGAUAGAAACAACAAAGUCAUUGACUUCAAAAAAAAAAGAACAAUGAAGUUUAGCUCCUAUAUUUGCUAACUGAAUUUUCUUCAUAAUUGAAAAUCCACUUCACAGGUAGAGGUGAAACUUAUCUUCAAUACUCGAUCUCACACAGCACCUGCUGCCUUGUAUCUAGGCAGUAAGGGCAGAAUUCUAUUUCUCUUGCAAAUGAGAAAAAAGGGAAAAGGAUUUCCAUUCACUUCACCCAUGUGCUCCUUAACUACUUAUGGCAUGCAUACAGUGGGCUGCAACUGUGCAGACAAUCAAACCCAUCACCUCUUUUCCUCAUCUUUCUCACAGUGACUCAUGACUCAUGGUAUGACCACACUCAUGGCUGGCUACAAAUGAGAGGAAAAAAGAAUGUCCUGAUAGUAGCAUGUGAGGAACUGCAUCAGGUUAUCCCAGUGAGAAGAUCAAGGAUGGUCGCUGUCUGCCUUUUCUUCAUUGUUCCAGACAUAAGAGCCAGUGUAGAGAUAAUCAGCCAAUUACUGGGCAAGAAACUAAGCCCAGAAGAACUGAACUCAAGUCAUUAAGCACACAUCCUUCCAGACCAUGAAAGAUAAUAAAAUGAGCAACUAUUCCUUACCAUUUAUGCCUGAGGUUGCAAUUUUUUGAAUUUCUGCAAUCAGAC